AGGGUUAUAGUUUAAAAUAAAACAUUUGAUUUGCAUUCAAAAAAUAUUAUAAAUAUAAUUUACCUU
rnacentral:tRNA from 1 species